rnacentral:lncRNA from 13 species
UGAAUGAGGAAGAGUAGUGGUUGGUCUUAUAGUUUUAGGGUGGAAGAGACAGAAGAAAAUCUGAUUAUGAAGUGGGCCUGCAUAGCUUAAACCUCAAGGCUCAAUUGUAGUUGUUUUUGUUGACUAAUAAUCUUCCUGUAUUCACUGUGGGUUUUAUUCAGAAGUCAUGGUGGAGUUUUAUUUGACACUCAUUUUUAUCAGGUACAACAACUGCAGCACUUGAUGGAUAAAUGAGAACACAUGGACACAGGGAGUUAGGUGCUCUCCUCACAUAUGUUACUGGAACAAAAGAAAGGACUCUGAUUCUGGAAAAUAUGCUCUUACUCAUUCUCUGUGAACUGGGCCUGUUCAACAUUGGAAGACAGCAGAACAGAAGGUAUACUUUGCAAUGUAAAUGAACUGCUGUGAUGAGCAGGAAAAAUCUCUACCUAACCACUCGAAGGAAAGGAGAAUAAAUGAACAAAUGAAUACAGAGAAACAGAGACAAUGGUUUGGAGAAUCUGACAGAAAGAACAGUAUAUAUUGUAAAGCCUGCAGGCUGGGUUCUACUACACCAAAAACUAUGCAUUAGAUCAUAUAAAUAUAAACUUUUUCCUUAACCUUCAUUCAAGUAGAACUCCAAGAUAUUUAUGCAUAAACAGCUCAUAAAAAUAAUAUUCUUGUGUAGUUUAUUUUCUGAAUGUCUAUAUUGUGUCAUAUAAGAAACACAAUCACCUGCCUGUCAGUAAAAAUUGAAUUUUCACUCUUUUUCCAGAAUUUACAGUUUGUGUGUUCCAUCCUGAUAUUAAGCUUACUUGAAAAUUGAAAUCAUAUUACCUACAUCAGUGGCUGUCAAACUUUUUUGGUAAAGAG